UGGCGGCGUGCCUAAUACAUGCAAGUCGAGCGAGCGGAACCAACAGAUUUACUUCGGUAAUGACGUUGGGAAAGCGAGCGGCGGAUGGGUGAGUAACACGUGGGGGACCUGCCCCUAAGUCUGGGAUACCAUUUGGAAACAGGUGCUAAUACCGGAUAAUAAAGCAGAUCGCAUGAUCAGCUUUUGAAAGGCGGCGUAAGCUGUCGCUAAGGGAUGGCCCCGCGGUGCAUUAGCUAGUUGGUAAGGUAACGGCUUACCAAGGCGACGAUGCAUAGCCGAGUUGAGAGACUGAUCGGCCACAUUGGGACUGAGACACGGCCCAAACUCCUACGGGAGGCAGCAGUAGGGAAUCUUCCACAAUGGACGCAAGUCUGAUGGAGCAACGCCGCGUGAGUGAAGAAGGUUUUCGGAUCGUAAAGCUCUGUUGUUGGUGAAGAAGGAUAGAGGUAGUAACUGGCCUUUAUUUGACGGUAAUCAACCAGAAAGUCACGGCUAACUACGUGCCAGCAGCCGCGGUAAUACGUAGGUGGCAAGCGUUGUCCGGAUUUAUUGGGCGUAAAGCGAGCGCAGGCGGAAAAAUAAGUCUAAUGUGAAAGCCCUCGGCUUAACCGAGGAACUGCAUCGGAAACUGUUUUUCUUGAGUGCAGAAGAGGAGAGUGGAACUCCAUGUGUAGCGGUGGAAUGCGUAGAUAUAUGGAAGAACACCAGUGGCGAAGGCGGCUCUCUGGUCUGCAACUGACGCUGAGGCUCGAAAGCAUGGGUAGCGAACAGGAUUAGAUACCCUGGUAGUCCAUGCCGUAAAC
rnacentral:rRNA from 1 species